rnacentral:rRNA from 1 species
GACGAACGCUGGCGGCGUGCUUAACACAUGCAAGUCGAACGGAAAGGCCCUGCUUUUGUGGGGUGCUCGAGUGGCGAACGGGUGAGUAACACGUGAGUAACCUGCCCUUGACUUUGGGAUAACUUCAGGAAACUGGGGCUAAUACCGGAUAGGAGCUCCUGCUGCAUGGUGGGGGUUGGAAAGUUUCGGCGGUUGGGGAUGGACUCGCGGCUUAUCAGCUUGUUGGUGGGGUAGUGGCUUACCAAGGCUUUGACGGGUAGCCGGCCUGAGAGGGUGACCGGCCACAUUGGGACUGCGAGACGGCCCAGACUCCUACGGGAGGCAGCAGGGGGGAAUAUUGCACAAUGGGCGGAAGCCUGAUGCAGCAACGCCGCGGGCGGGAUGACGGCCUUCGGGUUGUAAACCGCUUUCGCCUGUGACGAAGCGUGAGUGACGGUAAUGGGUAAAGAAGCACCGGCUAACUACGUG